GAUCCUGGCUCAGGAUGAACGCUGCGGCAGGCUUAACACAUGCAAGUCGAGGGGCAGCAUAAUGGAUAGCAAUAUCUAUGGUGGCGACCGGCGCACGGGUGCGUAACGCGUAUGCAACCGUACCUUUUAACAGGGGGAUAACACUGAGAAAUUGGUACUAAUACCCCAUAAUAUCAUAGGAAGGCAUCUUUUAUGGUUUGAAAAAUUUCCGAUGGUUAGAGAUGGGCAUGCGUUGUAUUAG
rnacentral:rRNA from 1 species